rnacentral:piRNA from 1 species
UCUUCAGGUAGAAGCCUGACAA